UGCACAUAUGGACUGCUCUGGCUGCACACCAUUUCCUCGCCAAGAGCUAAUGAGAUAAUUUUUUUCCUUGGAGGCUAUGCAACUGCUAAAGCCAAGAGCAAAGACAGCCUCUGCUCAAGCAGUACCUCCCACAGAGCAGGCCCCUGAAACAAAACAUUAUCUAGCUGUAGACUGCAGCUCAGCAACUACAGCCAAGACAGGCUCCUCCUCUCUCUGACAGUAACUGCUCACAAGUGGGACGUGUUAUGUGAAUGAGAGCAGUUCCAGGGCUUGUGUUAAUACUACUGAGGCUGUUUACAUCCCUUCAACACAUCACUGGAUGAAUUGAAUCAGGCAGUAAGUAGCCAGUAUGUGAUCUGCAAUCACUGAGGACUUGUGAGGCAGACUAAGAAGCCCUACUGGAUCCACUGGAGAAAUUCUGGCUUUCAUGUCUGUUUGAGUUUCAGUCAACUUGCAAUAGCAUGGACAAAGAGUUGGAAAUGGAAGCAGGUAAAAUAACACCUCAAAGUUUCUAUAAGGAUGGGAAAUGAAGAACUAAUGUCACCUUUUCCAAAAAAACCAAACUAAUUCCUACAUAUCUUUUCACAUGUUAUCAUAGAUUUCAAAAAUUACAAAAAUCAGGAGACAUGGAUUAAUGAGCACCAAAAUACUAUUUACAACGCAUGGGAAAAACAAAAAAACCCAACAACAACCAAAAAACAAACCUGCUCUUGGGCACUUAGAUCAUUUUACUCCCAGUUGUGACGAUCCUUUGCCUGAACUGGAAAUUUCAAGGUAAUUAUAUUUCUGUGGAUGUGUGAAUGGAGAAUUUAAUGCACUUUAGAGAUGCUGCCACUUCAUAUAUGUAA